AGGAGUCCCCUGCUCAACAGCGUGCUCCUGGUGAUACUGCCACCCGUAACGGGUACUGGCUUUGCUAACAUCCUGACGAGACGUCGGGGAGAGACGGGAAGUGGCAGAGAUGGGAUCUCACUGUGUUGCCCACGCUGGUUUCAAACUCCUAGCCUCAAGCAAUCCUCCUGCCUCAGCCUCCUGAAGCCCUGGGAUUACAAGCAUAAGCCACCGCCCCCGGCCAGAUCACAUGAUUCUUUACAUCUCUGCUGACAGAUUUCAUCACUGGUGCUGAGUGCAGGGAGUCCCGCAGCCACUUACACGUGUUGCAUUGCCGGGCAAUACAGGCCUGUGUGACUUGCUAUUCUAUGGCUGGGCUUCUGCCUGCAGAUGCCUGGUUUCUCCACUGCCAAGGCUCAUGGUCUGACACAUCCAGGAAAUUCAACAGUGAGGAUGCAAUGACAAUGAGUCGUGCAUGAGGGUUCCCGGGCCUCGCUCCCC
rnacentral:lncRNA from 10 species